GGUGGCUCAGUGGUAGAGCACUUACCUUGCAUGCAUGAGGUCCUGGGUUCGAUUCCUCAGCACCA
rnacentral:tRNA from 1 species